UCGAACACCAUCCUGCCCCGGCCCGGGAGCCGCCGCUGCCUCGGGCCGCGCGCUCCCUCCCCUCCGCCUGCCCGGGCCUCUCAGACCAGAGGCUGAGGGGUCCCCACCCUGAGCAGCGAGUAGGAGCCAAACCACGGCUGUUCCAGGCUUGAAAAUCCUGAAAUACCAGAGAUAAAUAGGAUAAUUGUGUGUCCACACAGACCUUAUGUGAUUGUCAUAUGCAGCUGCUUAUUGGAAGGUGUUUUCUUCAAAAUGUAUAAAUCCAACACUGAAGACUUGACUGUACCCAGCACAGAGGCCAGAUCCUGGGCCCCUCUCUGACAGCAGAGCACAAAGCAGCCAGAAAUUUAUUCCUGAAUAUUUCUUCUACUUCGGGGAAUCCUUCAGUGUCAAAGAACCACUGGAACAGCACUUACACCAACCCCUACUGAUCUCCAGUGCAAAAGGAGUGUGCCAUAGGAGAAAGGAAGCCUGGGAACCCCUCCCUUCAAGUUCUCCUAGGGAUCAAGUUACAACCCGGUUUUCUGCAGAUCCUGUGUCUCCUCAGAGGCCCAGAUUUUAACAACUCUCAAGUUCCUUAAGAAUUCCCACCUGAAUCUCCCUGAGGGCCGAGGCUGUGACUUUACUCAUCCUUCUCCCCGCUAUGUGAGAAAAGCCAAACUCGUGAUUCGACAUAAGUGGAGAUAAAUUUCAAAUUUCAUUGUCCGUUGAGUACUAGCAAUUGGGGCUGUCUACAAUCAUUGUGUUUAGUUCCUGGAGACCAAAGUUAAUUAAGACUGACUUAAUGCUUUAGCUAGAAAUACAAUAAUCACCAAAUAUAUAAAUCACACAAUAUAUAAAAUUAAUACAGCUAUCUCCCAUAUUCUUCAAAUACAUAUAUACCAAGGUGCAAAGGAUCUGAUUUUCUAUGAGACUUAGGCUCCUAAGUUGCUUAGGUGCUUUUGAAAAUCCCACUAGUCGCCUAUCUUCAUCUUUAGGUGCCUAAACAUCUUUAAAAAUCUGGCCCCAAGUGAUAAACACAACAGAGAGAACAAGGGAAAAGGGUUCCUGCAUUAAUGGCAGCAUUGCUGUGUGGCCUAGUAGCAAGAGUAAGACUUGAGAGUACAUAGCUCAUUGGCUUUAAUAAUGAGGAAUGUUCUUAAGCCCGUCUCCUCACUGGUGUACUGAAAACUAUUAAAAUUGUAAGCUAUCACUUUAAAUGCUGGGCAGGAUGGGGAGAAUUCCUGGUUCCGUUUGCAGGCUGGGGACUCUGCAGGGAAGUGUGUGAUCUGGGCCUAGCAAAGUCAUUUAUACAGACAGCCUACAGUAAGGUGAGGAGAGCUGUGGCUCCCUGUUUUAGAGAGCAACCCAUUCUAUCUGUCUCUUUGUUUUGGGGUUCUUGUAUGUUGUCAUUCUGAAUUCUAAAAAAUAAAGUCAUGUUACAUUGCA